AUCAACAAUGGAAGCAUCAUUAAAGCGCCAUUAUCGACAAUGCAUAACGAAAUUUAAAAGCAUAGCGUCAGUCACAUUCUAUUUUACGCUGUCUGUGUUGCUUUGCAGGUUUCAAGGUGUUUUAUAACGAAGGAAGAAUGUCUGGAGAUUCGUGCUCUAAAUUUUCGCACUAAAAGUUCUAAAUAAAGCUUAGAGUGGAAAACGGAUUACCAACGGGUCGUGUCGGUUUCGUCGUUCCAUUGAUUUUUAGUGUAAACGUCGCGAUUAUGAACAUUUCGUAGAAACCACUGGAGAAGGUCAAAACGGAGACAGGCAAAGCACUUAUUUAGAUAAAUCCAUUAUUUAAUCGAUGUCGCCUCAUCGUGAACGAAGAUCGAAUUCUACGCCACUUUUCACUACCAGUUUCUGCCAGCUUUCGGGAACUUUUACCACGCGACGGUUAGGGCCAGGCGUCGCGCUAUGUCGCCGGCUGUACUACUGAAAUUCGACUUUAGAACAGCAAACCUCUUCAACGUAGAAAUGUUCUUCUGGCACAGGUAAAUAGGUUUCGCUGAAAUUUCAUUGUAAUCUCUUUCGAGAGUCUGCGUUUUUUUUUUUCAAUCGUUUUUAGAAUGGGAGAUCGAUGGCUGAAAUCACUUCAAUUUUUGUAGGUACACCAAGGAUGUUUUACCGUGAACAAAAUCCUUGACAUCUAGGCCAAACGUGAUCGAUGUGGCGCGAAAUGACUCGUACACGAUUUUCUUUGACCUCCUCGCCACAAAAUCUUGCAUUUCGAUCCUCCGAAGACCACGCUCCAUUAGUUCCUCUUUUCUCUAUUUGUCGUAAUGGUACUCCGCGAUGAAUGUUCAUCGUAAGAGGAAGUUCUUUAUUGGAUGCGACGAUUAAUCCAAUGAUGAAUGCUCAUAAAAUGUUGCUCCUCGAGAACGAAUAUACCAGUCUCAGUGUCAGUCGCAAUUGAAAUUCAGACCUAACGCGGGGCAAUCUCCUUUAUUAUGCUAAAUUUUCGUGGCUUGGAAUUCAAUCUAAUCUGCUCCACUUUUCUCUAAUUUGAACCGUUCUAACGUAGUACCGAAUUAAUUUAGCCUACCUAAGCUCAAUCUCAAACCUCGUCAAAUUUUGAUAGAAAUUGGUCUCGAUGGUAGUAUGAUAAUCCCAUUUUAAUAGCCAAGAUACCAAGUUACAUAUAUAUAAAAUAAUUUUAUUGUAUAUUUAUGGAUGUCAAAGCGACUCCAAGGAACGUCUCCAACACACGAAAGCUCUCACGAUGAAAGAAGAAUUUCCAGAAAGAAAGUCAAUCCUGUCGUACACACAGAAUGAAUAUUUAAACGAAGACCAUUCUGGGAUACUAAAAGUGUCCCCAGACUUCAAACCGACUUUACCUCGUCUCGUAAACGGUUUAGGGAGAACUAAUCAAGUUAAGAAACUUUCUUUCUGCAAAGGCGAACUUCGACAGCCGGUAUCGAGAUGAUAAAUCGUGUUACGAACUCUUUUUUUUUUUUUAUGCUAGACCGUUCGGUGCUUUGAGGAAAGGUCGCGGUGGACGAUCUUUCCAUGCUAUUUGCCUGAAAAAUGUUUCUCUCUCGGAUUCGAGUCGGUGGCUCGAAGGAGCUCAUCGCUCAUCGAACAGCUCUCUUCGUUUCUUAUCCGCGUGGUUUUUACAAUAAAAGCAAUACUCCCUCCACGGUCAUAAAUUUCGAACAGAUCGGUCGCGCAUUUACGGUUUCCUGUUGGACGUUUCGCCUAGACGAAUAAAGCGGGAGGGUUUUCGUCGAAACGACGAGGAGCACGUAACCUUUGCGAUACGAAUCUUGAAUUUCGUCUCGUUAGGUGAAAUGAACCGUCUGUUCCACUGGAGACGUUUCUUCUUGAACGGACCAGCGCGAUCACUCCGCGAAUUAAAUUCGAUUCUCUGGAGAAACAUUCUUGGCAUUCGCGUUUCCUAUCGAGGGGAUUGAGAUAAAGUAUAAAAUAUACGUGUAAUUAUUAGACUGCGAAUUUGAUGCAUUUAUGAUACAAGGCUAAUAUAGUACAUGUGCACUUAUGCAAAACGAAACAAUAUUAUUAUAUUAAUCGUAGAAUAUAUUCAACAUACAUUAUGUAUAUUUUUUGCUUGUUGUAUUACUCUACCAUAUUACUGUACCAUAAUACGUAAGUGUAUAAAAUCCGCAGUCUAAUAAUUAUUAAAAGUAUAAACGAUAACCCCUUAUCGUCAACGUAAAAAUGAUAUAAAAAUGCUCUUUUAAUUCUUGUAACGAAAAUGGCUCAGGAAAUGGUAUCUAUAGAGAAAUAAUUCUAAAAGUGGUUGUAUAAGGUGAACAGAAACCUCGCGGUAUGUAAUCAAUCCAAACCGUUCGUGAAUUCAGGGUCGAUUUCAUGUUUAAAUAACGCGAUUGCAGCAGUAAUUGGUAGAAACUGCGAAGAAACUCGUUUUCGGAGCUACUCCAAAGUCUAUUCCGCCUUGGAUUUACGAUAAUAGUUAUUCUAGUGUUAUCGUUUGAAAUUUGCAUCCCGGAGGUAAGAGGUAAAAAUAAAUGAAAGAAGGAAGUUCAUCGUUGUACUUUCUGGAGCAAUUUGUUUCCGAACAUUCGGUUGCCACUGAUCAAUAUUGAUAUCAUCGCUGGCGAAUUACAACUGUGGAUGAAGUUUAAAUCCAAUUCUUCCUAACGAGGUACAUGGGUAGAGUCUUAAUUAAAAUCUUCAUUACGUACGCCAUGUUCGCUGCAUAACAAGUCCCCCGCAAGGAAUACAUGUGUAAUCAGCUUACUGUCCUAACGGGCACACGAUCACGAGGAAUACCUAAAUACAAGGUAAUGACUAAUGGUAGGAAGAGUAUACUUGGGAAUUUUAGAAAAUAUCUAAAGAUACCUAAUAUGUGGUAAAGUAAACAAGACUAAUUAUUCUUUAAAGAAGAAAGUCUUCAGGUUGAAAGUGACUCCUCACCUUGGAUUAGAAAAUUCUAAAAUGUUUAGGGUUCGCCAAGUUCUCAGCUGUACAUAUUCUGCUAGAUUUGUCCAACGAGAAUCAAGAAGCUCGUCUUUGAGGCGGUAGACAAAUUAUUUUGUUAAGCCUUACAAACGAGCAGAGAUAACCCACCGUCUUCGGGUAAUCCCCUGAAAACGAAGCACAGAUUAAAUAGGUAAAGCCAGCGGCUCGGUGUUCUUAAUUUCGACAGGAGCUCCGUUGAGCUCUGAUUCGUUUGUUGAGAAUUCAAGACAACUGCUUUGCUUCCUCUCCAGCAACCACAUAAUUAACCAAUUUUGUUGUUUAACCCUCUAUUGUAUAAUACGACCAAUUGAGAAUCCAAUAAGAACGGUCCACGUACAGUUUGCUGAGAAAGUUUCAUAACAUUUCUAGCACAGCUUUUUAUUUUUUCAUUUGAGUAUCGAGUCACUCAUCGUAAUUAUCUCCUUUUUAAUAAUAAUAUAAAAUUAACGGGAUUCUGGAUGGUGGUUAUGAAAUGGUGGAACUAAGUAAUUAAUGGUGAUCCAAGUAAACAUUAUUUACGAUAAACUGGGUUUACUUUUUAUACAAUUUUGAGCUGAAUUAAAUAGGCACUGUCCGCUAUCGCCUUGAAUAUUCGCUUAUAUAAAUAUUGAAAUAUUGGUACUAAUAUACACAUUAGUACAUAUCGUUUUGAAUGUAAAUAUUCCUGAUACUUGUAAGUCUGAUACAGGUGUAAGACUAUUAACCGUAUUCCUCACGGUGCAAUUACCGCGGAACGCAAUGAAGAUUUUAAUUAAGACUCCGCUGAUCUGCCUCGUUUGAGAGAAAAGCAACUUUGAUUUUUAUUUUAUUGACGUAAAUUUAACUUGAAGCGAACCGGUGUGAAACAUUUUAAUGCCCUGUCAAUUCGUAGACACGACGCUGCAUGGUAUCGAUAAACAGGAUACUCCAAAGUUUCAUUAAAAAUUGCUAGGAAAUCUUCCAUGGAAAAUAUUAUACUCCACUUUCGACCGUAGCGAAAGAACGAAUAUUUCUCGACGAUUUUUACAAAGUUACCGCGUACGCGUAGUAAACGUUAUUUUUAUUUCAAUGUUUCCAUUGACGUUGAUUAUGUAUUACAGAAAGAGCAAAUAUAAUCACGCGUUUAAUAGGUUUCUGAUUUAUUUAUCUUUCGUGCAAUAUUCAUCGUUACUGCAAAUAUUGCGAAUCGACGAAAAGGCGAUAUUGAAAAGCAUUCGUUGCCUUCGAAAAGUGUGUUCAUAUUAAACAAUUACGAAGAUCAAUGUCGAAUUCCAACUUUCGUUCGUCGUUUUCUCAAAAAUAAAUUGCUUCGAAAGCAACGUUUUUUUUUCAAAAGGCUCAAUAAAUAACAAAAUAUUUGAGAGAUAUUGUUUCUAUAUGGCGAUUCAAACAAAAGCAUCGAUAGAUUUAACUUUACAUGCAUUAAAGUUCGGUAUCUAUGUAUAUAGGGCCCAAGCUAAAUUCGUCGAUACUCGUUUUAGGUCAUCCUCCAUAUUCAAACAGAUUUGCUUUCGGAAUUUUCCAAAGUCUAUUUUUCCUUCAGAUUUAUCGUCCGUUUUCAUCCUCGUCAUCUCGAACUCGUAAUCUCGGUCACGCAAUCCUUUUACGUACGCCAUUACCAUCGUCGACUUUAUUUUCCCAUGGAGAAACAUGAAAUAUAGCGCAAGCAUAGAACAAAGAUGUAGAAUUUCCGUGCAUUAAACUUACCAAUGAGAGCUAAUCUUUAUUAACGCGAGAACAUUCAUGGGAGAAACUUCUCUAUGUUUAUGAUACUUCGUGCAAUUGAAGAAUAUCUUUUCUCUGGCGAUAAGCUUUAUGCAAAUGAGAUUAACGUAAAGCCCCGUUCGGGUUAUAGGGAGGAACUACAAGAGAUACGAGAUAUGGUGGUUUUAGUGUUAAUAUAAAACAGCAUCAAUUUGAAACCUCUCGAUAUAAAAAUCACAAUAUUUAAUAGAUAGCUUCGAUAAGGUUUCCAGAAAAGUUCGUAUUUCGAUAUUCCAAUUACUUUUUGAGUAUUUAAUUAAAACGUCCAUGGAAAUGUGUAAAAUUUGACGAGUUCACCGCCGGAUUCUAUAUAAUUAUUACAUCAACCGGACGUGUCUCGAAAACCAUUAAUGUCACCCAAGUUGCGAUAAAUUUUACAAUAAUCCAUAUCCAUACUAAUUGUGAAACCGAGCGGCGGAUGUUCCUCUGUAACGACAUCGAUUAAAAACGGCUUACUAACGAAAGUUUGUAAUUAUCUUUGGAAAGGAUUAGAACAGAUUUUAGCAAAGACCUAAUUUCGAAAUUCCAAUUAUUUCUCCAAGCGAUUAAUCGAAUACGUCCCAACAAAACAUACGCGAAUUAACGUAUUCCCUGGUCAACUUUACGUAAUUAAUUCAAUCAAUCUGCCGUACGUCAUAAACGAUUUGCGUUCUCCGAAUGCAAUAAAUUUUCCAGUAAUCUGGCAUAAAUGAGUAAAUAGAAUAUGCAAGGUUCGAUACCGUCGCACGACGAUAAGUAUUUAUCUGAAAUCCGCGAUAGAAAUCGACUUUUCAAUGAGAAUUCGGUUGGCCAAUCAUUCAAUAUGAAUACAUUUUUAAAAAAAUUUAUGUUUUGUUAAAGAUAAUUUAUGUAUACUUCGUACUAUAUUCCUCAUGUUUUACAUCUUUUAUUACAUCUACAUGUUUGAAAUUCGUUGAUUAAU